ensembl:lncRNA
CCUCAGGAGGGAGGCAGUGAAAGCAACUGCCACUAUUGCAGAGCUGAAACCUAUAAUUAUGCAGCCACAGGCUGGGCGAGUGUGUGCUUCUGUGUACGUACAUGUACGUGUGAAAGAAAGAGAUCUAAGGGAUGCUCAGACUCUGAAGAUGGUGACUUGAUGACUCCGCAAAAUUAUCACAAACCAUUCCUGACAACUAAGGGAGACCAGGGCUGGACGUCACACAUUUUCUACUCCAAAUAAAUUCCUCAAGCACUGAAGCAGAAGUUUACACAGUGCCAGGAUAAACUGAAACUCUUCUUCAGGUCAACAUUCCCUUAGAUAUGGAGAAGAAAUGUGAUUAUGAUACAAAUCAACGUAGUUAUCUGCAACCCGACACUCACAGAAACCCUCCGUGAGUGUUACCCAAGCCUUCCAUAAACUCAUAAAUCAGUCAGACUCAAAACAACAAGCGCAGGAAACUGAGUGAGUCAUUUCCCUUCAAACAGGAGGUGCGUCCUCACUGCUCUGAGGGGG